AGUCAUCAAACAUGGAGAGGCUUAACACCCUUCUUGUCCUUCUUUUAGGACAUCGUUGGAUUUUUGGAUCAGUAGUGAAUGUGACAGUGGGAUCAGGAGAAAACAUUACUCUGUACUGUGACUGUAAAAUAUUGACUGAUGAAAUUAUUAUGUGGUACAGAAACUGUACACAUGAAAAUCAGCCUCCUCUUGUUCUAGAAAAAGAAAAGGAUCCAUUCAAACCCACCAGUGGCCGUGCAACUCUAGUGAAUUUGCUACCUCGCUUCCAUUUUGUAGAAAAUCAGUCCUCUAGUUCCUAUGAUCUACUGAUCAUGAAUACUUCUGAUUCUGAUGAGGGCCUCUAUUACUGUGGAACUGAGCGGUCACAAUCAGUUGGUGGAAAUAAACACAAAUAUAUUUACGGAUAUAGCAAUGCUACAACACGGAUCCGAUUCAAGGCCAGUGAACAAAUUUCAACUGAUCACCCAACUCUACAAGACUGCAGCAUAUGUUGGAAGCUGCUGUUCAUCCUGUGUCCAACUUUUGCUGUUCUGUCCUCUCUACUUAUCUCCCUUCUUGUUCAUCGCCUCUGCCAGAAAACAGAUGAUCAGCCCAGAUUUCAAACCAGUGGGCAAACAAGAAGGAAUCAGGAUGAAGAUGUGUUUUAUGCUACAGUGGAAACCCAUCAAGCAGCACACAAAUCAAAGAAGAUAACCUAUAGUUCUGACAUCUGCACCUAUUCUGCUAUCAACACCUCUGGCAUAUAGAUUUAACAGUAUUUCAUGUUGUGAAUUUGUCAGCUUUCUUAGCUUUACCACAAGAAUUGACAAGCGCUGGCCUUUUGCCGUUAUGGAGAAGUUACCUCACUGAAAGAUGAAGCAACUUGAUUAUUUGCAACAUUGCAAUAGGCCUGUGCUCAGAAACGGCCCUAACCAAUCUGGCGCCCUAGGCAAGAUUUUAGGUGGCGCCCCCCUACAUCAGCAGUGUAGUGUAAUGUUGUAACAAAUAAUAUUUCUAUUAAAUAAGCUUUACUUUGCAUUUUAAUUAACGUGGGAUUAUUUUUUGUAUUUAGAAAUAAUAGUACCAACUUUUUUUUUUUUCAACAUUUGUGGCACUGGCGUGGCGCCCCCUGAUGGACGGCGCCCUUAGCAUUUGCCUAUACGGCCUAUGCCACGGGCCGGCCCUGCCUGUGCUGCUGGAGUGUUUCUUCUUAACUAAACUUUUUUCACUCUCUGUGUUUUGUACUUUGCAUUUAGUCGUUUGUUAUUAUUAAUCUUUUUUCCUGUCUUCCUCACCUUGUAUCCUACUGGUUGUGCCAGAUUGCUCCCCAUCCCUGAACCUGGUUCUGCUGGAGCUUUUUCCCUGUUAGGGGAAUUUCACCUGCCUACAUUAGUGCUUGUUCAUUGAAGGUGAUCUGAUUUUUUUGUGUUUUCUCUGCAUUAUAGAAGCGUCUUUACCUUACAAUGUAAAGUGCCCUGAGGUGACAGUUGUUUUGUUUGGCACCAUGUAAAUAAAUUUGAAUUGAAUACUAAAAUGUGAUUUUAUUUGUGAUGUGACACUGUUUGCAGUGUCUGUUGUUUUGUGGUAUAAUUAGUAGUAUAAGUAAUAAACAUGAAAAGGAACACGUACAUGAAAUAAAU
ensembl:lncRNA